CGUCGCAGCUGAGCCGGGCGGGCCUGCAGCUCGGGAGGCAGGGGAUGGAAACCGGUGGCCAGCGCGGACGCCGGAACUGCCCGCGUGCCUGCGAGGGGCCCGCGCUUCCUAGCACGGCCUGACGCGGGCUCUGGAGACAGAAGGGGAAACUGAGGUGCAGAGCGGGCAGAGCACUAGUCAGAGGUCAUGCAAGGGUCAGGGCUCAAACCCGGAACCCUGGGCUCACCGGCCGGUGCCCUCGGCACCUCUGACUGACGGGCAGGAGGCCGCACCCUCCUCACCCCAAAUCCUCACCGAGGCUCCCAGGCAGCCACCUUCGUACAAAUAGUCACAGCCAUCAUCUUUAAAGCACCAAGCGCCAGGCACGGAGUGGGACAACGGCUAGGCACCUGCUCUGGUCCUCGCACGGGCCCCGUCGGGCAGGCACUGGCCUCACCACCGCUGGCCGGAUGAGGAAACAGAGACCUGCGAAGGCGGGCAGCCGUGUCGUCUGGCGCCAGGAGACUGGGCCCCAGAGCCAGCUGGACCCGGGAUUCGAACCUCAGCUUCAGCCCUCCCAGCCGUGUGUAUGACCUCGCGCAAGCAAGGCAACUUCUCGGACCCUCCGUCCACCCCCCGACAAACGGGGAUGGCGAUGGCACUCAGGCCUCAGGAAGGCCGACCCGGUGGGGCACACGGAUGCCCUCACAGAGCAGUGGGUCGGGUCCCACCCCCACCCCCACCCUGCCGCUUCCUGCGUGAGCUUGGGGCAAGUCGGUUCCCCUCUCUGGGGCCCCGUGUCCCCUGAAACACGGACAUCACAACACGUCCGUCACACGAUCGAUGAGCGGAGCGAAUGGGCUGCCGCCCCAGAAGCCCCCCCGCCCCCCGGCAGGGCUGGGCUGUCUGUCCGCACUCCACCCGGAGACCUGUCCUCAGACGCCACCCAGACACUUCCGCCAGGACGAGGGGAAGGGCCGUGGGCAGGAGGGCGAGACACGCGCAUUCUCUGCCGCCCUUCCACACGCGUGAGAAAUUCAAAAAGGGGAGGCCAGGGGCCCACUUUUCUUCACACUCCCACGCCCGGUCCUCGCUGUGCCUCUCUCCAAAAGGCCUCCUCUUUCCUCUUUGGUUCCGCCCGUGCCCUCCAUGAAAAUCAGCCCCAACCCCAGCCCCCUUGGUCUGGACUCACGGACCUCACUGUUCCCACCUUCACUCUCACCCACGCGCUGGAACCUCCUCCUGGCAUGCCCUUGCUUACCCUAACCCAUCUGCCUGGUCUGUACUUCACCCAUCCUUUGCCUCUCGGAGUCAAAACCACCUCCUCCGGGGUGCCUGCCCUGAUCUCCCCCUGAACGUGAACUCUUCCCGGAGUGUCUCUAAACCUCACUGACCCUUCUCUGUCAUGUCACACCAGCUAUUUUUGCACACACCACCUCGCAUUUUGGCUGCUGUGAGGUGGAAAAUUUGCAAGGUGGAUUUGGGGGUGGGGAAUUGCAUUGUCUCCAAAAAAUUUUAAAAACCCGCUAAAUUGAAAGUAAUCAGUCUCUCAUUAAUCCACUUAAACUUCACAAUUCCGUAUUAAAUUCCUGAUUUAGUAUUUGUGGAAAACGCUCAUGGCGUUCGAAAACAGUCUGCAAACGAGAAUGUGCUUUGUUGGGCAAACGCUCCCUGGUGUGCGCGGGCAUUGCCAAGAACCCAAAGUCGGUGGUAAAAUAGAAUGAGGUGCAGAUUGCCAAA